UUUUAAUACCGGUUUUCCUUAGCGGGACCCACCACCACUCUCUCCUUUGGGUUUGACGCACUACCUCCCUGCUCGUCCUUCUUUUUCGGUUUGAGAUGCGAGCGGGGAAGGAGCGGGGCCCCGGGGGCCGUUCUUUGAAAGCAUCAGGGCAUUAAUGCAGCUUUAGACAUUAAGUCGCUCGAUUAAUUGUUUUCUUACGACCAGUCUACUGGCGACCGGCUUCUUCCCGCGCCGUCGCGGUCGCUGCCGGGGCAGCCGUGCCCGGGAGGGAGAUCCCCAGGUUUGUUGCUCGCCGGGAGCAGGCAGAGGUUUCCUCGCCUUCAAACUGCCGCGAUGAAGUUAGCAAAAAUUACAGGUGAUGCCGUUUGCACUGCUCGCUGCGAGACCAAACCUAAAUAAACCCGCAACAAUUACGGUUUUUAAUGAACCCCUCGCAACCAGCGGCUGCUGGAAGUAAAGUUGCAGCUGCUGCCCAAGUACUAAAGGCAGCUAUGAGCCAUGCCUGUGAGGAUUGCUCACCCAAAGCCCUUCAGAGAACUGGGAAUCUCAGGAAUGCUAAUGCCCUUAUGGGAAGCCAAGUGAUGGGAACCGCUGAUGGAGUCUAUGAGCAACAAAUUUAUGUUAAGUUAUGAUUAUGAUGCUGCAGAGCUUGUCCUUUUCCAAAUGAAGCCUGUUAUUUGAGAAGAAUGGCAACUUCCUGAACAACAAACAUGCAGUGAAUCCAUGUGGGUUUCCCAGAUAGCCCUUUCCACUAGCUCCCCACAGUAGGAACCAUCAUCUUGUGUGUUCAGAAAUAUUUUAGUUGGGCAGAAAUUCCCAGAUGCAUGUCUCCAGGCAUCUGACACCCCUUGCCUUCCUCAGUGACAGCUGUUUGCUUUCCAGCUUCCUGGCUGAGGAGGGGAAUUUUGCCCAUCUAUGCUUCAAAUGGCUCUAAAGGGUUCACAAGACUACCUAGAUGCUGCGGAAGGUCCAUUUUGCUGACAGGAUCCACUGUAUUUGUGCCAAAGCUCCUGAAGCUUGUUUGCAGCUUCGACCCUCCCUGAGCUUGUAAAAGGGCAUAAGCAAUUCACUGUCCCUGAACAGUAGGUCCUUAUUCUUCAGCUGUCAUCCUCGUACUUGAGCACUCCAUCUCUCUAAAUCAAAGUCCUUUUCUUGUCCCUCCACCACUGUCGAAGGAACAAAAUAUUUUGAGGCUUCCUCUGUUUAUGGAUGGCUUUUUGUCAUCAUUGUAAAAAAUGCUGAAAUAAAACUAAAGGUAAUAUGCCAAUAUUAUACUCCAUUCUGAAAUGUUAGCUGCUGGAACACUUGUGUGCUCAACUACACAGCAGAUAGCACUUUUGUGUGCAUUUUUCUGCUUACUGCAUUGACUGGAUUUUUUUUUGAUCUGAUUAACUUGUUCUGCUAUAAAAAAAUACCAUCAGCACUCCUCAGAUAGAGCAAGGCAUCAAUACAUUUCAUUUGUUCUCUAAGCCAAAACCACACAUGGGUGAAUAACAGUGCAAGAGCAAUAGGUGAAGUACAAGAGGCUUCUGGUUCUGGUAGACAGCAGGAUGAGAACUUAUUUUUAUGAUUUUUCCCGGGGAAGCAGCCGCUUCACAUUUACCCUUUUUGUUUCUUAAAAACAAAAGAACAAUAGCUAUACUGGUUAGCGGGGCUAUUGUCCCUCUGCGCCAAAUGUAUGAAAUCUUACUGCUUACAUGAGCAUCUGAGGUAUUUCUCUGCAUUCUGCUUGUGCUCCUUUGUAUCGCUCUGCUGAGAUUUCUUGCAUUUAUUCCCUUCUUUCCAGUAUUUUUCACACCUGUUUCUCUCAUGUUUCUUUUGCCCUCCAUUCAUAUGCUCUUGCUGGUCUGUUUUUGAAAGGGUGUAGUUUGUGCUGAAGGUAAACCCAUCAUUUAAACUGUGUUGAAAACAUAACUAUGUCAAGAUCACAUCAGAACUGUUAAAACAUUAACCAUUAAAACAUUCUAACAGUGAUAAAAUCUUGGCAUGAUUGGCCAGAUCUUCAGGAGAUCUGAAGGAGCAUCAAGAUAUUUCUGAAGGUAUUUCCACCUAGUGAAAAACCUCUGUUUGGCAACACUUGCCUGUCCUUGACUA